rnacentral:lncRNA from 1 species
CGCUCGGCAAACAACUAACAAAUUUAUUUUUGAAUUCCCUUUUGAAAUUUUUGACCCCAAAAUGUCACAUAGAUCCUUAGGUAAAAAUCAAGCGGCUUUUUAAUACAUAUUUAAUCUAUAAAUAUUUUACAAGGACCUGGACCUGGGGCAUACAUGCUGCCCAGCUGCUUUGGCUAUGAGCAGUGUGACUCCAGGAAGCAGCGUAGCCCUCGGUAUUCCUUCGGCAGCAGAUCCCGUUCCUCUAAUCGUGCUAAUCUUGUGGGACCUGGCCCCGCGGCCUAUCACCUGGGCUCGGUAAAGCGUUGUGGAAAGGCCAACAAUCUGGAAUAUGCGUAUUUCCAUAGGCGUGGCAUAGACAACAACAACCCAAAAAGUGUUCGCUAGGUAGAGUCUCAAAAAUAAACUAGUUAACAAUUA